rnacentral:rRNA from 1 species
GAUGAACGCUGGCGGCGUGCUUAACACAUGCAAGUCGAGCGAAGCGAUUUUAAGGAAGCUUUCGGGUGGAAUUAAAAUUGACUGAGCGGCGGACGGGUGAGUAACGCGUGGGUAACCUGCCUCAUACAGGGGGAUAACAGUUAGAAAUGACUGCUAAUACCGCAUAAGCGCACAGUGCUGCAUAGCACAGUGUGAAAAACUCCGGUGGUAUGAGAUGGACCCGCGUCUGAUUAGGUAGUUGGUAGGGUAACGGCCUACCAAGCCGACGAUCAGUAGCCGACCUGAGAGGGUGACCGGCCACAUCGGGACUGAGACACGGCCCAAACUCCUACGGGAGGCAGCAGUGGGGAAUAUUGGACAAUGGGGGAAACCUUGAUCCAGCGACGCCGCGUGAGUGAAGAAGUAUUUCGGUAUGUAAAGCUCUAUCAGCAGGGAAGAAAAUGACGGUACCUGACUAAGAAGCCCCGGCUAACUACGUGCCAGCCGCCGCCGUAA